AUGAGCUUCCCGGGGAGGCUUUCCUGGGUCGUGCUCAGGAAGCAAGUCCCGAUCUUCUACGCCGAGGAGAAAGAUCAGGAAGACGAGAUCAUGGCCAAGGCGAGCAAAGAUUGGGGUGACAUCGAGGACGGGUCCUGGAUGCUCGACCAGUUCUCCCUCGACCUCCACCUCGUUCAGCCCCCGGAGCUCUCCACCUUGUCCCUGCGCGCCAAGGCCGAGUCGCGCGAGUACGGCGGCAUCACGUGCCUCCUCGAGUCCGUCGUGGAGAACUUCCUCGUCAUGGCUCUGCUGGUCGGCAACAGCUUGUACUGGCUCGUCUAUGACGCCGCCAAGAACUCGGUCUCGCUGCUCCCCGCCCCCAUGGAUUCCGUCCUCGCGUCGGCGGAUGAUGACUCCCUCCUAUGCCUCAGGCAACCUGCCGUCCUGCCACGCGACGACGGCUCCUGCGAUCUGCUCGAUGUGGGGCUCUGCUUUGAUGGACCCGGCGAAGUGUUGCCGCGGUCGUGCAUUCUCUUCCGGUGGUCGAACCGUGGCCCUGGCAAGACGUGGACGAAGCAGGAGGCCCGCGUUAUCCCGCAUGCCCCGCUGACACUGACGGCCCAAUGCCCUGUUUCGCAUAUUUACCAAGCAGACGUGGUCUUCACUUUCAACGGGAAGGUUUUCUGGGUCGACCUCGAGAUUGGCGCCAUUGUCUAUGACUUGCUCUCCACCGGUACCACCACCCAAGACGGCGAACUGGACUUCAUCCAGCUUCCCCACGAGUGCCAAGGCAGUGACUUCUCCCGCAGUUACCCCAGGGAGCGCCGGACCAUGGGCCCAGUUGGGAACUCCAUAAAGCUCAUCUCCAUCGUCACCACCAACGGCGACAACCCCGGCAACAACACGGACCCUGCCGACGUCGUGCUGCGGAGCUGGACUUUGUCGCCGGACCUCCGCUCAUGGACUAGAGACGACGACAUGGAGCUUCCCUUGCCGCUACUCUGGGCGUCAGAGGCCUACAAGCGCGAGAGGCUGCCACAGGCCAUGCCAAAGAACCCAGUCCUCAAGACCGAUGAGGACGGCGUCCUCUACCUCUUGCUGGGAGAUUACUACGUCGAUUUGGAUACAAUGGUCCGGCUAUGCAGGGAGAUUGAGUGCGUGAUCAGCAUCAACAUGCACACCAAGUCUCUCCUAUCCCGCAGCCAUCGUCCAAUCAAAGAUGGCUUGCCACCCAUGUGGCAACACAAAGACCAGCCUUCCAAAGGAUUCCGUCCUAACAUGCCUUCCCUGUUUGCCGCCAAGUUCUGCCCGAGCCACACUGGAUGGUCUGAAUCUGAUGUUCUUCUGCCCAAGAAAAAAAGGAACCAUCUAAUAGAUGGUAAUUUGAAUCUGAAUCUACUAUUGCCACUCCUCCUCCUACUCCUACUUGGUGUUAUUUGUGCACAUUCUGCUAGAUUGAUGACUACCGUUGGUUGA
rnacentral:rRNA from 1 species